UGUUUGUGUUUGUGUGUGUGUGUGUGUGCACGCCUGCACGCACUUUGAACCAGGAGGACGUGGGCUGUGAGGAGAAGCUGUACUUCGGCUUGAAUGAAUACAGCAAGUCUCUGCAGUGGGGGGUCACAAGCCCACUCCUGAGGUGCGAUGAGACCUUCGAGAAGAUGGUGAACACGCUCUUGGAGAGGUAAAUAAGGACGCCUGCCCUUUUCUUUAGCUGUGCUUACAUGUCACAGGGAGUUUGGAGCUCAUGCAGAUGACAUGCAGAGGCCAAAUAAGAAAAGCCUCUUCUUCUAAGAUGCCUUUUACCCUAUGGGUUUCACGUGAUCACCUGAGACCAUCAGAGGAAGACGUGACCUAAAAUAGUGACCUACAGUAGGGCACAGCACCCCUUUUCAUGCCCUGAAUUGUCUCCCAAUGAAGCGUCAUUGCUACCAGCAAGAGGUUGAAAGGUCAGAAAGGGAUUUUGCUCAUUAAAGACAUCUCUCUGGCCGCCCUGACCCUGUAUUUCGGGCUUCUACGUCUUCUCCUCUUUCCUCCUGUUGACCACAGGAAAGCAUCCUCAGAUGACUUUGUAAAAACCAAACUUGACUAUGAGAGAGGUGGAGGACAGACUGAAGAAAGUUAGGGAACAAUCAGAGAAUUUCGGUGUGUUCAGUUCUUGGGGUCCCUCUUUCAGUCUCUGAUGCUUAGAGAUUAAGGAUAAUGAUUCUUCUGGCUUGUCUGCCUUUUAUUCCUCAGUUCUAGGUCAAACCCUGAAAGAGUUUUUUCCUUUUCUUAACUUGAAUCAUAAACUCGAAGAUUAGUUAAAGGCAUUUCCUUAACCUAAUAGAAGUUUCUCCUUGUCCUCGGCCUCAGUAUUCUAUGAUCAUCCAACAAUGGAACCGUAUGACUCUAUUGUAUGAGGCAGAUUGUAAUUUUUAGUAACUGUGGUUCUUAAAAUUAGCCUCAGUUGAUCACAAGCUAUCUGUUUAACAAAUCUGCUCUCUAUAUUUUGCUAAGGGAAAAAUAAAAUAAGAGACAAGUGGAUACAUCCUAACUAGCUACUUAAAAUGUUGCCUCAGGAAAUAGGAGUUGGCCUAGAUUUGAUUUCUUCACAGCUGUUAGAUUUGAGAAGUCUUAGCUGACACUGUUACAUUAAUCCUUUCACAGAACAUGUUAUCCCAAAUUUCCAAAAUUAUCCAUGAGUCUCCCCUUUAAAGUCUCCCACCCAUUCCAUGUGCCAGCCCGGAAUACAUUUUUCUUCCCAGGAACAUCAGAGACUCAUAACUUAUAUUUUAAAAGAUGAUCCCAUCAACUUCAAUUCCAACUUUUGUAAUACACAACUACAGUUUGUAGUCUAAUAGAAAUGUAACAGAUUGGAGAAACUAGUUGCUUUUAAAUUCAUAAUUCUUUUCCGAGUGUGAAAGGUAAGGGCCUAUAUAUCAAAGUUACCAUUUAUUCUAACCUUGGCUUUUUUUCCACAUGGCCAAGCAAAACAGAACAAAACACCCUAAGCUUUAAACACAGAUCAUCUGUGCUUUCCUCCUCCAAUGCCGUCUCUUGCAGGCUAAUAAUAGCUAUGAUUUAUUGAACAGCUGAAGGAACUGGCCCAGGAUUGGUGGAACUGAAAUUUUUCUUUACUUUUUCCCCACUAAAACCUUGUAAUGUGUGAAGAAAUUGUCAGAGACCUGAAAAAAAACAGACCCAGCUCAGUCUCCGACAAGUUGUGUGAUCUAAGACGAGGAUGAAUGUCUCUCAGCACCUUAACUCAUUCUGCUCUGAAAGGACUGCUGGUCCUUUCCCCUCUGAAACUCUUCAAAAACAUGUUAUUCGUUUGAUGACCCUAAUUGGUAUUUGCCCCUGGAUUGUUCUGUGCAGGCUGGUGGAACAUCUGUAUUUUGAUUAUAAAAUGAAACAAAUGGAAAUCCCCCACAAUCCAUCCAGUAGCCGGGCAGCCAGGAAGACAGUGCACAGGCUCAGCCCAGCCAAUCCUGGGCCUGGCUCUGCUUUGCCAGCACUCAGUUAGCCACUCAUCUAGUCAUUAGCCUUCCUGAGGAAUAGAGAUUUCUUUUCUACAUGCUCUGUAAUUUUACAAGUUGCCAGUUUCAAUAAAGUGAUCCUCUCUAAGCAGGGACCAAGGGGUGUCACGCUCACAGGCUCACAGCUCUAGUUGGCUUUUCCCCCUUGACUAAUUUGGGUCUCAGACAAUAAAGAGCCCAAGCCACUAGAGGGUGCUCUUUCACCAGUCAGCUCCCCUGUUUCCAGCAAGGCACAUUUACAGGAAGCCAUCUGUAGGGCUGACCUGAAAUUAGAAAUGAUUACCCGUUUUAUGUUGACACUCCAAAAAUACAGUAAUAUCUCCCUUUACUGUAACUUAAGUGUCAGAGAACUGAGUAGACAACAUUGCCAUUCUAACCCAAUGCCACCAGCAAGAGGUUAGGACCCAAGGAUUAUCCCUUAAGAGUCUAACUAGGCCAAUGCAUUCCAGAAUUUAAUGUACACGUGAAUCACCUGUGGAUUCUGAUUCAGUAAGUCAGGAGGGUGGGCAUUUCUAACAACCCCCCAGGUGCUGCUGUUGCUGGUCUAGAGCCCACACUUUUGAGAGGGUAGGGCCACAAAGCAUUCGUAAGCCUCUUGGUUUUACCUGUCCCAUGGGGCCAUUACUCACAUGCUUUGGAAGCUCAACUUCUCCUUCUAGUGAUAUGGGAUCCAAGGUCCUUGUAGAGCUCACACUCCUGAUCAGGAGCCCCUUCCCUGCCAUGCUCCAUCUGCCUUUUGCUGCCUGGGCCUCGCUGUUCCAACUGUCCUGCUGCUGAGUGCCAGGCCCCUGUGCUCUUUUGAAGGUACCCCAGGCUGCACAGCAUGGUCGUCCGCUGCUACCUUCUCAUCCAGCAGUACUCGGAGGCCCUGAUGGCUCUUACUACCAUGGCGUCACUACGAGACCACAGCACACCAGAAACACUCAGCAUUAUGGAUGACCUCAUCAGCUCCCCAGGAAAAAACAAAAGUGGGAGGGGACACAUGCUCAUUAUCAGGGUGCCCUCGGUGCAGCUGGCGAUGUUAGCCAAGGAGCGACUGCAGGAGGUGCGGGACAAGCUGGGUCUACAGUAUCGCUUUGAGAUCAUCCUUGGGAACCCGGCCUCUGAACUCAAUGUUGCAACCCACUUUGUGGCACGAUUAAAGGUUAGCAAAGGACAUACAUUAGUUUCUGUUUUCCAGGAAUCUGAAAUACCAUUUGUUUCUGUUUUCCAGGAAUCCUAUCUAGGUGGCUUAGAGGCCUGAGUUUAGUAGAUUUUUGCACGUGUGUGCAUGUGAUCUCCAGAACAGUGUCAGGGCUAACAUGAGGAAUAUGUUUGCUUUCAUUAAUUGGAGCCAGAUUCUCAAGAUUCUGUCAAGCCCCCUUGUUAGCAUGUGCAUGCAGUUGGUCUCCGUGCUCUCCAACUGCAGGUGCAAAAAAUGAGAUGACCCCAUUUGACCCCAUGUUUAUUGACCUUGUUCGAGAUGCAUCUAGCCCACGGCCAUCUGUUUUCUCAGGAACAAAAGGUAAGCUGUUCUCUGGGACCUUGCUGGGGUCUCCUUUUCAGUAUCCUCAACUCACUAAUUCUUUUCUGUCCAUCUAGCCCAUCUGUCAGCUCAUGGCUAGAGUCGGUAAAGUAUCCCAUUUCAUCU
rnacentral:lncRNA from 1 species